GUAGAGUGGCGAACGGGUUAGUAACGCGUGGGAACAUACACAGCACAGGGGGAUAACCAUUGGAAACGAUGGCUAAUACCGCAUACGCCCUAUUGGGGAAAGAUUUAUCGGUGUUGGAUUGGCCCGCGUUAGAUUAGCUAGUUGGUGGGGUAAUGGCUCACCAAGGCGACGAUUUAUAGCUGGUUUGAGAGGAUGAUCAGCAACACUGGAACUGAGACACGGUCCAGACUCCUACGGGAGGCAGCAGUCGGGAAUAUUGUGCAAUGGGGGCAACCCUGACACAGCCAUGCCGCGUGAGUGAAGAAGGCCUUAGGGUUGUAAAGCUCUUUCAGAUGUGAGGAUGAUGACGAUAGCAUCAGAAGAAGCUCCGGCUAACUUCGUGCCAGCAGCCGCGGUAAUACGAAGGGAGCUA
rnacentral:rRNA from 1 species